rnacentral:rRNA from 1 species
UAGGGAAUCUUGCGCAAUGGGCGAAAGCCUGGCGCAGCCAUGCCGCGUGAAUGAUGAAGGUCUUAGGAUUGUAAAAUUCUUUCACCGGGGAAGAUAAUGACGGUACCCGGAGAAGAAGCCCCGGCUAACUUCGUGCCAGCAGCCGCGGUAAUACGAAGGGGGCUAGCGUUGCUCGGAAUUACUGGGCGUAAAGGGCGCGUAGGCGGAUAUCUAAGUUGGGGGUGAAAGCCCGGGGCUCAACCUCGGAAUAGCCUUCAAUACUGGAUAUCUUGAGUUCGGGAGAGGUGAGUGGAAUGCCGAGUGUAGAGGUGAAAUUCGUAGAUAUUCGGCGGAACACCAGUGGCGAAGGCGACUCACUGGCCCGAUACUGACGCUGAGGCGCGAAAGCGUGGGGAGCAAACAGGAUUAGAUACCCUGGUCGUCCACGCCGUAAACGAUGAGUGCUAGUUGUCGGCAUGCAUGCAUGUCGGUGACGCAGCUAACGCAUUAAGCACUCCGCCUGGGGAGUACGGUCGCAAGAUU